CGAAGGGUGCAAGCGUUACUCGGAAUUACUGGGCGUAAAGCGUGCGUAGGUGGUGAGUUAAGUCUGUCGUGAAAGCCCCGGGCUCAACCUGGGAAUGGCGAUGGAUACUGGCUCGCUAGAGUGCGGUAGAGGAGAGUGGAAUUCCCGGUGUAGCAGUGAAAUGCGUAGAGAUCGGGAGGAACAUCAGUUGCGAAGGCGGCUCUCUGGACCAGCACUGACACUGAGGCACGAAAGCGUGGGAGCAAACAGGAUUAGAUACCCUGGUAGUCCACGCCCUAAACGAUGCGAACUGGACGUUGGGAGCAAUCAGGCUCUCAGUGUCGAAGCUAACGCGUUAAGUUCGCCGCCUGGGGAGGUACGGUCGCAAGACUG
rnacentral:rRNA from 1 species